UCAUUAAAUCAGUUAUGGUUCAUUUGAUCGUACAGUUUACUUGGAUAACUGUGGUAAUUCUAGAGCUAAUACAUGCGAGAAGCGCCGACCUCGCGGGAGGCGUGCAUUUAUCAGACCAAAAACCGGCCGCGUCUUCGGGCGCGUUCGCCUUGGUGACUCUGGAUAACUUUGCGGAUCGCACGGUCUAGCACCGGCGACGGAUCAUUCAAGUGUCUGCCCUAUCAACUUUCGUCGGUACGGUAUUUGCCUACCGAGGUUCUUACGGGUGACGGGGAAUCAGGGUUCGAUUCCGGAGAGGGAGCCUGAGAAACGGCUACCACAUCCAAGGAAGGCAGCAGGCGCGCAAAUUACCCAUUCCCGACGCGGGGAGGUAGUGACGAAAAAUAACAAUGCAGGACUCGUUCGAGGCCCUGUAAUUGGAAUGAGUACACUUUAAAAGCUUUAACGAGUAUCCAUUGGAGGGCAAGUCUGGUGCCAGCAGCCGCGGUAAUUCCAGCUCCAAAAGUAUAUAUUUAAGUUGUUGCGGUUAAAAAGCUCGUAGUUGGAUUUUGGGCGCAGGCGGCCGGUCCGUCGCAAGGCGUGUACUGGACGUCCUGGCCUUCCCUCCAGUUCUCCGCCGGUGCUCUUGACUGAGUGUCGGCGGCGGCCGGAACGUUUACUUUGAAAAAAUUAGAGUGUUCAAAGCAGGCUCUCGAGCCUGGAUAAUGGUGCAUGGAAUAAUGGAAUAGGACCUCGGUUCUAUUUUGUUGGUUUUCGGAGCGCGAGGUAAUGAUUAAG
rnacentral:ncRNA from 1 species